CCUACGGGUGGCAGCAGUGAGGAAUAUUGGUCAAUGGCCGAGAGGCUGAACCAGCCAAGUCGCGUGAGGGAAGACGGCCCUACGGGUUGUAAACCUCUUUUGUCGGGGAGCAAAGCGAGUCACGUGUGACUCAUUGAGAGUACCCGAAGAAAAAGCAUCGGCUAACUCCGUGCCAGCAGCCGCGGUAAUACGUAGGGGGCAAGCGUUAUCCGGAUUUACUGGGUGUAAAGGGAGCGUAGACGGCGGGGCAAGUCUGGAGUGAAAGGCCGGGGCCCAACCCCGGGACCGCUCUGGAAACUGCCCGGCUGGAGUGCGGGAGAGGUAAGCGGAAUUCCUAGUGUAGCGGUGAAAUGCGUAGAUAUUAGGAGGAACACCAGCGGCGAAGGCGGCUUACUGGACCGUGACUGACGUUGAGGCUCGAAAGCGUGGGGAGCAAACAGGAUUAGAUACCCCUGUAGUC
rnacentral:rRNA from 1 species